UACGAAGGGGGCUAGCGUUGUUCGGAAUUACUGGGCGUAAAGCGCACGUAGGCGGAUAUUUAAGUCAGGGGUGAAAUCCCAGAGCUCAACUCUGGAACUGCCUUUGAUACUGGGUAUCUUGAGUAUGGAAGAGGUAAGUGGAAUUGCGAGUGUAGAGGUGAAAUUCGUAGAUAUUCGCAGGAACACCAGUGGCGAAGGCGGCCUUACUGGUCCAUAACUGACGCUGAGGUGGCGAAAAGCGUG
rnacentral:rRNA from 1 species